rnacentral:rRNA from 1 species
UACGUAGGGGGCAAGCGUUGUCCGGAAUUAUUGGGCGUAAAGCGCGCGCAGGCGGUCUGUCGCGUCGGCUGUGAAAACCCGGGGCUCAACCCCGGGCCUGCAGUCGAUACGGGCAGACUAGAGUGCGGUAGGGGAGACUGGAAUUCCUGGUGUAGCGGUGAAAUGCGCAGAUAUCAGGAGGAACACCGGUGGCGAAGGCGGGUCUCUGGGCCGUAACUGACGCUGAGGAGCGAAAGCGUGGGGAGCGAACAGG